AGAGAGAGACAUGCGCGCAUAUCAAUAAGCGGAGGAAAAGAAACUAACAAGGAUUCCCUUAGUAACGGCGAGUGAAGCGGGAAGAGCUCAAAUUUGAAAUCUUCAAGGUUUUACCUUGACGAAUUGUAGUUUAAAGAAGUGUUUUCUGCUGAAGUUUUGGUAAAAGUUCUUUGGAAUAGGACAUCAUAGAGGGUGAGAAUCCCGUAUUUGACCAUUAUUUUCAGCUUUGUGAUACACUUUCAAAGAGUCGGAUUGUUUGGGAAUGCAGUCCAAAAUGGGUGGUAAAUUUCAUCUAAAGCUAAAUAUUGGCGAGAGACCGAUAGCGAACAAGUACCGUGAGGGAAAGAUGAAAAGAACUUUGAAAAGAGAGUUAAACAGUACGUGAAAUUGUCAAAAGGGAAGCGUUUGACACCAGUGUUGUUUUCUCGAAAAUCAAUUAAAAAUGGCUCGAUUUUGUAUUGCUUGAGACCUUAAAAGCUCACUGUACAUUUUUCGUGUCUUUUUUAAUGCACUUUUCGUUUAACAAGUCAACAUCAGUUUCUUUUGUUGUAAAAGGGUCAUUGGAAGGUGGCUUUCUUUUCGGAGAAAGUGUUUAUAGCCUUUGGCCUCUGCAAUCGGAGAGACUGAGGUCUGCAGCGUAGACUCUUCGGGGUUAGAUACAUUUGUGCUAAGUUAUAGCUUUUUAUAGACAACUUGUUGACUAUAAUUAGUCUUGUGGCUUACUCGCUUAUGCUAUUUUACCUACGCUUAGGAUGUUGAGUCGUAGAGCACGCAG
rnacentral:rRNA from 1 species